rnacentral:rRNA from 1 species
AGAGUUUGAUCCUGGCUCAGGAUGAACGCUAGCGGCAGGCUUAACACAUGCAAGUCGAGGGGUAUAGGGGGCUUGCUCCCCUAGAGACCGGCAAACGGGUGCGGAACACGUACACAACCUACCCUUGUCUUGGGGAUAGCCUUCUGAAAAGGAGAUUAAUACCCAAUAGUAUAUUAGAGUGGCAUCACUUGAAUAUUAAAGAAUUUCGGACAGGGAUGGGUGUGCGUAAGAUUAGGUAGUUGGUGGGGUAACGGCCCACCAAGCCCACGAUCUUUAGCUGAUGUGAGAGCAUGAUCAGCCACACGGGCACUGAGACACGGGCCCGACUCCUACGGGAGGCAGCAGUGAGGAAUAUUGGACAAUGGACGCAAGUCUGACCCAGCCAUGCCGCGUGAAGGAUGAAGGCGCUCUGCGUUGUAAACUUCUUUUACCAGGGAAGAAACCUAUUUUUUCUAAGAUAGUUGACGGUACCUGGGGAAUAAGCACCGGCUAACUCCGUG